ACUCCAACGGCAUCGAGGUGACUAUCAAUGCAUAACAUAUUACAUAAUCAAUAACACAUACAUCAGUACAUAAUAAAAUAAUAUCAGCAGUCACUGAACAUGUUGAAUGUGUGUUACUAAAACGAGGAGCGGGGAACAGGGAUCUGGGAACGAGUGAUCAGCGGUAGGGCACAGCGAUGUAGCAACCUCACGUGCGUCUCUUUGGCUCUUCUCUCGUUAAAAUGGAUGAUGUGAUAGAGAUCAAGUCAAGUGAAUGCUCAAGCUCAGACUCAAGCUCAGACUUGGACUCAAGCUCAGACAUUGUUAAACUUGUAAAAGAAAAACAGCAGCUUGUGAUUUCAGCUCGCACUAAACUACCACGCAUGAAUUAUUCAUAAUUGUUAGAAACAGAGUCAGAGAUUUCACUUACCAUCCAUUUUAACGAGAGAAGAGCCAAAGAGACGCACGUGAGGUUGCUACAUCGCUGUGCCCUACCGCUGAUCACUCGUUCCCAGAUCCCUGUUCCCCGCUCCCCGUUUUAGUAACAUCCAUGUUGAAUUUUCCAUCAUCAUCA